rnacentral:lncRNA from 1 species
GAGGCCAUUCCCUCUCAUCCUGUCACUAGUUACACAGGAGAAGAGGCUGACUCCCACCUCGCCACAACCUUCUGUCAGGGAGUUGUAGAGAGGGAUAAGGUCUCCCCUUGAACCUGCUCCAGCCUUAACAGUCCCAGUUCCCUCAGCCAUUCCUCGUAAGGUUUGUGCUCCAGACCUUGUCAGGAGCUGUGAUGCUGUCCUUGGCCUACAGCCGGUUGUCCAUCCUGUGCUGGUGAAGCGCUGCUCACGUGGACAGAGCGACCUUUCUGCAGAAGGUGUGCAGUGCCCAAGCAGAGACCCCGUGCUCAGACCAGUUGAUCACCUUGGGACCAGACACUGGAAUGUCCUGUAGUCAUUGAAAGAAGGGCAGAAAAUAUCCGUAACAAAGGAAAUUGCUAUUGAAGGUGUAAUAGAUAGGAGACAAAAGCGGAAACAAAGCACCAAAGCACAUCGCAUUACAUAAGCAAAGCUACACUAUCUUUGAAUGACUGAGUGCAUGGGAUGGCCCUGAGCUGACAGGUAUGUCUUUCCCAAAGUGCUGAAGCAAGCUAGACAGAACCAGCAAGAAACAGCCAACGAGGAAAUCAAAGAUGCAGGAGUUUGUAAUUGCUGUUUAACAGAAAGUAUCUCGGGGGUGGUGUGGAGCCCAGUGAACUUCUCCCAUCAGCUCUGAAUCUCCUGCUGAUCAAUCGCAAAGCAGGAGCAUGUUCCUGGUUCUCUGACUCCUGAAAAUAGUAUGAGAUCCCAAACUGUGAUGGCAUGACUGGGAAGAGAGACAAAGCAUGACAGCCUCUAUAAAACUGCACAUUGAACUUCAUUCUGUCUGCCAUGCACGUGUGGCCGUGCUAUCCGUUAGGAGAUGAGAUUUAUGGCUUAUUUCAAUAGUUCUUGCUUCGUUCCUUUCCUUACAACAAGGACUCAACAUUUGCUGCAAGAGCCUC